GUUUUAGGCCAUGUUGGCCAAUCAGAAGCCUGACAAAGUUUCAAGUAGGCGGAGAUAACAGCGCAGGCUCCGACGUCACAAGCCAAAAACUCUGGUUUUGCUGUCUACACCAUAACACUGCAACCGGAGUUUUUUUAAAUCUUCACCCUGGCAGGAGUUUUCAAAAUGUUCGGUUUCAGUGACCUGGUGCAGUGUUUGCGUGAGGACGAACGGCCAAACUGCAUUGAAAAAGCUGCUGUUUUGAAAAUAACCGAGUUCGUGUGGACGGCCAAUGAGUGCGUGCGUUGAGCAUUCAAAUCGCAUUUAAACUGAAGCAGAGGAGGUUACCAUGGUAACAGGGCUCAACUCACUCAGCUGACAAGUAGCCAGAAGCUGUCUCUCUGCUGUUUUCACUUUCAGGAGUGGUUUAGUGUCUUCAUAAAGACCGUUAGCAUCACAACCGUUAACUAUGGAGGCUAACAAUUAGAGGAGCGUCAGAAAAAAAUACUUAAAGCAGGGGAAGUUACAAGAAAAUUUGUAAUGAGAGCUGCUGACAGAGAUACAGGAAACACAGGUGAUCUGAG